GCUUAUAUGUAAUACAUUAAUUGAAGUUUUAUAGUUAUAUAUAAGAAAAGAAAGUCGGAAUGCCAAUUUUCUUUGCCAUGAUAAUUAGCCUUUUCUUUUUUAAUGAUUCGAUAAUUAGCUAAACAUAGUUGCUUGAAUGUAUGAUACACCUGUCAUGGUCUCAUGGAUUAUAAGAGCUGCUAACUCAAGAACAAGUGAUGAAUCUAAUAACUACUGGGUCUAAAUGUGGCACUAGAUUAAUCAUAGAGUGGACUCGAUCAAGUGAUCAAAAGAAGGGGCUGCUAGCGCAAUGUCAUUACUACACGUGUAUCAUUUACUUCCUCAAUCAACUUUUGUUAAACAGAUGUUGCUGUUGAAGUUGGAGGUAUAAGGAGUCAGAUCCCAAACGAGUGAGGUUAACAUAAUCUUGAUGAUUGUGAGCUGAAAUACCAGGAAGUACGAGUCCAUACCAUCUAAUGAUUUUAAGCAACCAGCCUUCUGAGUAAUCUGGUCCCUUCACGUAUGGCAAAAUGAAGCUUCUUAGUAGCUCCCACACAGCGUUUAGAAACCUGGGUAUCGGUGCAAAUGAUGAUAAAUAAUUCUUGUGUGGUUCUUCUACUAAUAUCUGCCCUUUGUAGAUGCUAUUAUAGUAGAUGCAUGUCCCAAAGUGCUUGAACAAAAAUCUUGAAUCAUCUGUGGGCAUCCUGGGAACCACAUCAUUGCAAUACACAAACCUCAAAUAUUUGAUAUUAUAAGUUUUCAAUGUACUUUCCAUGAACUUCUUGAAGUACUCAUCUCCAACCCUAGGUUGUCCAAACGUGUAUACACCCUCCAAUCUCUCUAACAAUUCUGUCUCCUCGUGCAUUGCCAGAACAGCUACGAAAAGAAUUGCAAGCGCUCCGCCCAAACUGUGGCCAGCCAAUAUGUACUUUGUUCUAUCAUUUUGUUUCAGAAUUUGUAACAGCUUCUUCCUUAUUGUGUAGUAAGCUAAUGGUGGAUCAUCUUGUUCACAUUCUUGCGGCCGCGGCCAGCCUUUGUUCCUUAACAACCCUAAUGCUUUCAUGAAGCCGCCAUGAAUUUUCCCCAUGUACCCAUCAAGCUCAUACCAGGAGAUAUCAAAGUCAGUACACCAUGCAUCUGCAUCAAAGGGUUCAGUACCUCUAAAGGCCACAACAAUUAUAUCAGGAUUUGCACUUUUGUCAUGAAACAUGAUAGCCUGUGUUGUAAGUUUUUCUUGAAAAUCUGCUCAGUUGUAGUUUUGUUGUUAUAAUGUCAUGAAAAAAUUAGAGCCACUUUGAAGUUUGCAGAACAAAGAUAAGAGAAGAUGUCAUUUAAUUAAGAGUUAGGAUUAAAUUGUUUGUUACCGUUCCAAAAAUCGUAUUGUCCACGUCCAAUUAUUUCCAUCUAUACCAAAUUACCGAUAUUAAUUAGAUUCUUGAGAGAGAAAACAAUGAAACUUGUAAACCAUUAUUACUGAUGACUAAAUAUGAAGCAGUUUAAGAUGUAUAUAAUUCAAAUCUACCUUCCAGUGAUUUCUGACAACAUUUUCGACAAAGGCCUGAUUCUCGUAUGAUAUCUUAGCAGCCAUUGCAGCCAGUGCGCUGUAGUAUCUGCAAUUAUCAGGUUUUAUGUUCUUGUCUAAAUGCACACGCUGGUCUAUAUAUCCAAUAGUUGACAAGAACGUUUCUGAUUCUUUAACAGGCAUCACCACCUUACCUCGUAAAGCAUUUGCCAAGAGCACAAAAAUGUUGCGAUUACAUGAUACAAGGUUCAGCCACAUCUCAAACUUUGAUCCAAGCUUUGAUAUUGGCAUGGCCACAGAUUGCAGAAGCUUCUGCGCAAAGAGGGAAAAAAAGAUGCGCCAUUUGGGAGGAAUAUUUCCCUCCCUUCCAGUGGGGUAAUCCACGAAUGCUCUCUCCUCCAUGCCAUUGUUGAAUAAGAUGCAAAAAAUAUUGAAAAAACUCACAUCCUCUGGUCUCAGUAUCAUAUAAUUCUCAGAGAACUUGUGAUGACUCUGAUGGCACUCCAUUUGGG
rnacentral:misc_RNA from 1 species